rnacentral:tRNA from 1 species
GGGCUCAUGGUCUAGCGGUUAUGACACUUCGUUGACGUCGAAGAGGUCGCCGGUUCGAAUCCGGCUGGGCCCA